CAAUUAUACAGAACUAAUGGAUUUGAAAGGCCAUUCCAAAUUUCCCUCGUGAAUUUAACUACUCAGCGAAUAUUUUUUUGAAAUGUGUUAUUUUUUUCCCGUUUUAUAUUGAAGAAUUUCUUGUGUUGAAAUUUAUCGAUCUACGCGAAGUUAUCGUUAUCGUAGUGUUUCAAAAGUUUUGUGUUUAAUUAAAAAACACUGUUGUCAAAUGUUUUAAUGAUGGAAUAGAUAUGGCAACGUUUAUUACAAAUUUUCGUUGGAACACGAGGUUUGUCGUCUCGUCCAAUGUGCUUUGCUGUCCUGUGAUGAAUCUAAUUACAGCCGUGUGUAUCACGCAACAACGUAAUAAUUAGGUUAUUGUGAUGAUUUAGUAAAGGUUCCUUGUGACUCUAACAAGACAUUGUAACAAAUGAUGAACAACUCGCCUUAAUAUCUUUGUAACUAUUAUUGCAUUACUUCGAACGAAAAAAGACGACAUCGAUCUGCUUAAGUGCUCCAUACGAGAUUAACUUUAUAAAAAAAAACUAUGAAGUGUCCUACAAGAUUUGUCGACGUCCGAAAACCGGUUUGCCCUGCCUAACGUUUCCAGCUGAAGAAGAGAACGGGUGUAUGCAAAUUGAUGGAGCAUGGACGAUGGUAUAUGCGCAUAGGCCAUUCACUUCUAAUGGAGCAUCGGACGACUUGAGCGCAAAAUUACAGUCUUCCUCUUUUUCGGCGAAUGGAAUACAAACAUCCACGCGGCUUUUGGAAUACACAUAAAGCGCCAUGAUAACGUUUUAUGCAACCAAAAUGUAAGAGGAGAACAG